rnacentral:rRNA from 1 species
GUGGAGCAUGUGGCUUAAUUUGACUCAACGCGGGAAAUCUUACCGGGUCCGGACACACUGAGGAUUGACAGGCAAUAUUAAUACGUGUUCGCACGUAUUAUGUUAAAUAUGCUAGUCCUUUCAUGAUUAUGUGAUAGGUGGUGCAUGGCCGUUCUUAGUUCGUGGAGUGAUCUGUCUGCUUAAUUGCGUUUCACUAAGGGCCUAUAAAUUUACGUGUGUUGCGGCACUUUGACCCCUUUCUUUUUUAUUAAAGGAAGCGCGUGUCUUAGUUUGCUUUGCUCACACAAUUAGGUCCUGAAAGCAACGAACGUGACCGCAACCUCUUGUUGCCUUUAUACCAAACAUGUUUGCUAUAUUUUUAUGGCAUUCAUGAAAAAAGGCUUUUUAAACUAGAGGGACCGCUGUUACUUUCUUAAACCAGAGGAAGGUUGCGGCAAUAACAGGUCUGUGAUGCCCUUAGAUGUUCCGGGCUGCACACGUGCUACAAUGAUUAUUGCAGUGAGCAUCUCAUUUUUACACACCGCAUGCGCGAGUCCAUUUAUUCACUUCGGUGCUUUAAAUGUGUAUCUCUGCGCGCGGUAAAGCCUGCUUCGAAAGUAAGUGGGUAAUCAAUUAGAAGUAAUGAUUUCCGUAUUAGCACACAUAUAUACGGCGUCUAUGCCCGGGUUACCUUGUUGUAGCUUUUGUGCGUAUAGAUGUUUUUUCCGUAUGUGCGAUUGUCAAUUCAUGGUGGGGACAGACCAUUGUUAAUUGUUGGUCUCGGUCUUAACUAGGAAUGCCUUGUACGGGUCUUUGGUUCAACAAACCACCCGGAAUACGUCCCUGCCCUUUGUACACACCGCCCGUCGCUCUUACCGAUGGACUUCUCUGUGAGUUUGAGGGACUGGGAACGCAGAAAAUUUUACCAUUUUCUGCACACCUAUGGAAACUUAAACGAACAGUGUGGUCUAAAG